UACGUAGGGUGCGAGCGUUGUCCGGAAUUAUUGGGCGUAAAGAGCUCGUAGGCGGUCUGUCGCGUCGAUCGUGAAAACUUGGGGCUUAACCCCUGAGCUUGCGGUCGAUACGGGCAUGGACUGGAGUUCGGCAGGGGAGACUGGAAUUCCUGGUGUAGCGGUGAAAUGCGCAGAUAUCAGGAGGAACACCGGUGGCGAAGG
rnacentral:rRNA from 1 species